rnacentral:rRNA from 1 species
UACAGAGGUCUCAAGCGUUGUUCGGAUUCAUUGGGCGUAAAGGGUGUGUAGGUGGCGCGCUAAGUCGGGUGUGAAAUUUCGGAGCUUAACUCCGAAACUGCAUUCGAUACUGGCGUGCUUGAGGACUGGAGAGGAGACUGGAAUUCAUGGUGUAGCGGUGAAAUGCGUAGAUAUCGUAAGGAAGACCAGUGGCGAAGGCGGGUCUCUGGACAGUUCCUGACGCUGAGGCACGAAGGUCCAGGGGAGCAAAACGGG